rnacentral:rRNA from 1 species
UACGGGGGGAGCAAGCGUUAAUCGGAAUUACUGGGCGUAAAGCGCGUGUAGGCGGCUCUGCAAGUCGGGUGUGAAAUCCCACGGCUCAACCGUGGAAGUGCAUUCGAAACUGCAGAGCUAGAGUCCUGGAGAGGAAGGUGGAAUGCUUGGUGUAGAGGUGAAAUUCGUAGAUAUCAAGCGGAACACCGGUGGCGAAGGCGGCCUUCUGGACAGUGACUGACGCUGAGACGCGAAAGCGUGGGGAGCAAACAGGG